rnacentral:rRNA from 1 species
GACGGAGGAUGCAAGUGUUAUCCGGAAUCACUGGGCGUAAAGCGUCUGUAGGUGGUCAAAUAAGUCAACUGUUAAAUCUUGAGGCCUAACCUCAAAAUCGCAGUCGAAACUAUUAGACUAGAGUAUAGUAGGGGUAAAGGGAAUUUCCAGUGGAGCGGUGAAAUGCGUAGAGAUUGGAAAGAACACCGAUGGCGAAGGCACUUUACUGGGCUAUUACUAACACUCAGAGACGAAAGCUAGGGUAGCAAAUGGG